GACGAACGCUGGCGGCGUGCUUAACACAUGCAAGUCGAACGAAAAGGCGCCAGCUUGCUGGGGUACUCGAGUGGCGAAGGGGGGUGUGACACGCGGGGGAACUCCCCUUCACUGUGGGGUAAACCUUGGGAACUGGGGCUAAUAUAGGGUAGGAUCGUGCUAUAGUGUGUGUGGAGGAAAGUUUGUCGGUUUAGGAUGAGCCGGCGGCCUAUCACCUGGUGGGUGAGGUAAUGGGCUACCAAGCGGGAGACGGGUAGCCGGCCUUGGAGCGUGUACGGCCACCUUGGGACUGAGGCACGGCCCAGACGCCUACGGGCGGCAGCGGUGGGGAACAUUGCGCAAUGGGCGCACGCCUGAUGCAGCGACGCUGCGUGCGUGAUGACGGCCUUCGGGUUGUAAACCCCUUUCUGCAGGGACGAAGCUUUUGUGACGGUACCUACAUAAGAAGCACCGGCUAACUACGUG
rnacentral:rRNA from 1 species